GAAGCCUCAGGGUUGCAUUACGUCUGUGUCCCGUGUGUAUAUGAGCUAUGGGCGUGUGCGUGUGUGUGUGUGUGUGUGUGUGUUUGUGUGUGUGUGUGUGUGAGUGUGAGUGAGUGUGUGAGUGUGUGUG